rnacentral:rRNA from 1 species
CAGUCGCCGCGGGAAUACGUAGGUGGCAAGCGUUGUCCGGAAUUAUUGGGCGUAAAGGGCUCGCAGGCGGUUUCUUAAGUCUGAUGUGAGAGCCCCCGGCUCAACCGGGGAGGGUCAUUGGAAACUGGGAAACUUGAGUGCAGAAGAGGAGAGUGGAAUUCCACGUGUAGCGGUGAAAUGCGUAGAGAUGUGGAGGAACACCAGUGGCGAAGGCGACUCUCUGGUCUGUAACUGACGCUGAGGAGCGAAAGCGUGGGGAGCGAACAGGAUUAGAUACCCCAGUAGUCCCUGUCUCUUAUAC